ACCCCAAUUGACAUGGCCUACGUCGGCGUUUGAACUCUGAAGAAACCUCCUCUCUCUCUCUCUCUCAUGGCAACAGGAGCUUAUUUCCUAACUCCCUCUCCUCGUCAUCCACCUUCUACAACAAUAUCAUCAUCUUCUUCUUCAUGUCAAAUCAAAUUAUUUACCACCGGAAUUUCAAUUCAGACGAAAUAUGAACCUCACCGAAGAAGAACCAUACCUAAAACCUCAUGUUGUGCUAAUUCUCCAUCGCAGAAUAAAAGGCCAUUAACUUCAACUGAUAUCACUGGUUCAUCAAAGGAUGGCGCUGGAAUCCGUGUGGCGUAUCAGGGCGUUAGUGGGGCGUACAGUGAAUCUGCAGCUGAGAAAGCAUACCCAAACUGUGAAACUGUCCCUUGUGAGCAGUUUGAUAUUGCAUUUCAGGCAGUUGAAAACUGGAUCGCAGACAGAGCUGUUUUGCCUGCUGAGAAUUCUCUGGGUGGUAGCAUCCACCGAAAUUACGAUCUCUUACUUCGUCACAGGUUACAUAUUGUUGGAGAAGUGCAACUUUCUGUCCGACACUGCUUAUUAGCGAAUCAUGGUGUCAAACUUGAAGAUCUUAAAAGGGUUCUCAGUCAUCCGCAAGCUCUUGCACAGUGUGAGCACAAAUUAACGAGUCUACACGUGGUUCGGGAAUCUGUUGAUGAUACAGCUGGUGCUGCACAGUUUGUUGCUCUGCAUAAACUCGAAGACACAGCUGCAGUUGCUAGUAUAAGUGCUGCAAGGAUAUAUGAUUUGAAUGUUCUAGCUCAAGAUAUACAGGACGAUUCAGACAAUAUCACUCGCUUUCUGAUGCUAGCAAGAGAUCCAAUUAUUCCUGGCACCGAUAGACCCUUCAAAACUAGCAUAGUUUUUUCUCUCGAUGAGGGUCCCGGUAUGCUUUACAAGGCACUUGCUGUUUUUUCUAUGAGAGAUAUCAAUCUCACCAAGAUUGAAAGUCGUCCUCAGCGGAAACGUCCUCUUCUACGGCUUGUUGGAAACAAUGAUGGUUUGAAAGUCAAAGUCAAACAAUUCGUAGACAAAGGGUACACAACAAUAUGAACAACUUUACAAUGUCAAUGGGUCCUGGUUGAAAGGUUGACCCGUCAGGCAUUUCGACUAUCUCUUCUACUGUGAUUUUGAAGCAUCAAUGGCUGACCACAAUGCCCAAAACGCGCUUAAGCAUUUAAAGGAGUUCGCGACGUUUUUGAGAGUUCUUGGGAGCUACCCAAUGGACGUCAACUUGUUAUGAGUAUAUAAACCAACCGAAACAAUUUUGACUCAUCUUGGUCAAACUCUAGAUGGUAAUACAUUGAAGGUCAAACGUUAAGAUCGAUGCUUCAAAAUUUGGAAAGAAAAUGGAUCCGAAUAUUACUGACCAUUGCUACUUGGCUCCUGUUUGAGAAUAGUUACGCUUUAGUUUGACUUUGAAGUUAUUAACCGAGCAAGUAUAGCUUGGCUUGCAGUUCUUACCAGUCUAGCUGCUUAAAGUUA